GACAGAGGAUGCAAGCGUUAUCCGGAAUGAUUGGGCGUAAAGCGUCUGUAGGUGGCUUCUUAAGUCCGCUGUCAAAUCCCAGGGCUUAACCCUGGCCAGGCGGUGGAGACUACUCAGCUUGAGUACGGUAGGGGCAGAGGGAAUUUCCGGUGGAGCGGUGAAAUGCGUAGAGAUCGGAAAGAACACCAAGGGCGAAGGCACUCUGCUGGGCCGACACUGACACUGAGAGACGAGAGCUAGGGGAGCAAACAGG
rnacentral:rRNA from 1 species